CAGCCGCGGUAAUACGUAGGGGGCGAGCGUUGUCCGGAAUCAUUGGGCGUAAAGCGCGCGCAGGCGGUCCCUUAAGUCUGAUGUGAAAUCUUGCGGCUCAACCGUAAGCGGUCAUUGGAAACUGGGGGACUUGAGUGCAGGAGAGGAAAGCGGAAUUCCAUGUGUAGCGGUGAAAUGCGUAGAGAUAUGGAGGAACACCAGUGGCGAAGGCGGCUUUCUGGCCUGUAACUGACGCUGAGGCGCGAAAGCGUGGGGAGCAAACAGGAUUAGAUACCCUGGUAGUCCACGCCGUAAACGAUGAGUGCUAAGUGUUGGAGGGUUUCCGCCCUUCAGUGCUGCAGUAACGCAUUAAGCACUCCGCCUGGGGAGUAC
rnacentral:rRNA from 1 species